rnacentral:rRNA from 1 species
AUUGAACGCUGGCGGCAUGCCUUACACAUGCAAGUCGAACGGCAGCACGGGAGCAAUCCUGGUGGCGAGUGGCGAACGGGUGAGUAAAGUAUCGGAACGUGCCCAGUCGUGGGGGAUAACGUAGCGAAAGUUACGCUAAUACCGCAUACGAUCUAUGGAUGAAAGCGGGGGAUCGCAAGACCUCGCGCGAUUGGAGCGGCCGAUAUAAAAUUAGGUAGUUGGUGGGGUAAAGGCUCACCAAGCCGACGAUCUGUAGCUGGUCUGAGAGGACGACCAGCCACACUGGGACUGAGGCACGGCCCAGACUCCUACGGGAGGCAGCAGUGGGGAAUUUUGGACAAUGGGCGAAAGCCUGAUCCAGCCAUGCCGCGUGCAGGAUGAAGGCCUUCGGGUUGUAAACUGCUUUUGUACGGAACGAAAAGGUUUGGCCUAAUAAGCUGAGCUCAUGACGGUACCGUAAGAAUAAGCACCGGCUAACUACGUGCCAGCCGCCGCGGUAA